GAGGGGUUUUUUUUUUUUCUAAGAAGUUUUGCCGUAUGUUGUGUGGAAUCCGCCCUGCUCUCUGUCUCCAUGGCCGAUGUUAAAAUCCACCUCACGUAGAACACAUUACAAUAUCAAGUAUGUUUGGAGAAAGGGCCAGAGCGUGGAGAUCACCCCAGAUGGCCGGGAGAACCACUUCAGAGUCAGCCAGAGCAGAACCAGGUAAGAAGACCGAGGGUCGAAGAGGUUAAGUAGCAAGACACAACUGCUUCCGCACCCUGCACCCAGCCCUUGCCGCUUCCAUCCUACCGCAGUGUGGAAAGUCCCUGGCAGAGUGUGAGCCCCAGGGCACCAUGAAGCCUUGGAGGUGGUGGCUGCUGCCAGCACAGAAGCAGGACCCCUGUGCACUGCUCGCCAUGGUCAGCUCACUAUGAGGGGGUGCAGGCAGUACCACCCCCCAACUGGACCGUCUCCACCUUUGCAAUCAUCCCAGUUCCAGAUGUGACUCUCACGUGCUCUGUGACCUUGGGGGUGGGAGUUAACAUUUCUAGGCCUUAAAUUCCCCAAACGGAAGAGGCUGCACUGGAAUCUGUCCUUGUGACGUUCUGGAAGUGUUUCAGUCCCCCAGGGUCCCCUGCCCCUCUUCACAGAGAGCGGACCUUGAGGAAGGUCAGGAUAACCUUGAAGUGUUUGUUUUCCUGUCGAGAGAUUUUGCCCCAGAUUUCAUCCUUUUCGACAAGUUCUAAGAGAGCGGGGGCAAUAACAGGAAGGAAAGAAAAUGGAGCUCACCAUAGAAACCCCAGCACUGGUCUGAGUCUGCGUCUCUGGUUCUGCUGGCGGCCACCACACUCCCAAGGACGUCAGCAUCUGGGCUCCCUCUGCCGACCGUACUCUUUGAAGUGGAAUGAUAGAUGAUCAGGUCAUAAAGUUGGGUGAUAUGCUGGGCAGGCUGAGGAGCCAUUUUUCCCCCAGAACCACUGACUGACAGAAAUGAUAAAGAGAGAUGUUAGGACGGUGUUGAUAUCUCCGGAAAAAAACAAACGCCAAAAAGAUUCAGUUGACGUUCUUGCCAUUUAAUAAACCAGAAUGCUUCAGAGGUAGACAUUUUGCAUCAAGAUGAGAGAUAGAAUCCACAAAUUACAUUUUCGUUGCAAUCACAUUUUUUUGACCGAAGCCACUGUGGUGAUACGUGAGAGAGAGAACUACCCAACUCAGACCCUCAGGCCGUCCCUCACCCGUGUCAUCUCCUUGGCGUGACUUAGCCUCUGGUUUGGAGCUGGAAGGAAUUCAAUAAAACAAGAUAUAUUGUUA